CCUCGAUCCCAGGCCGAGUUUUCGCUUUUAUAACGGUUAGGCGAACAACUGGGCCUGGUACUAGUUGUCUGCGCAUGCGUCAAUCGUUUGUCAGAUUCUGACAAAUGGAUAUUCUCGUUCACUUUCGUGACAUUUAUAUUCGUGUAUAGAUACUAUCGUGUACUAGAAGUCAGUUCCCGUUUUAUCAUUAUUGGAAUCGAUUGGAAUGGCUCUUAGCUGAAGCUUCUCUCUUCUCUGAAGCUUAUUCUGAAGACUGAACAACAAGGGAAGAGGUAUAAAGCUUUGUCAAGCUUGUUAAGGUCAGAUAUUUUUGUGUGGGCCCUAUGGCCGGCUAUGCUAUCAAGUCUUGUUCAUGUUUGGCAAGAAUGUAGGUAGACUAUAGUUUCAUCAUUAAUAUGGUGGAUCAAGUGAAGAGUGUGAGCUAGAGAACUUGGUGCUGCCAUCAUCAGCUCGUCGACAAUGACACUAUAACCGAGAAAUUUAAUAUGUAUAGAUCUACACGUAUUUAAAAUGUCUACUUCUCUGUACAGGAGCAAUGGCUAAUAUCCAGCUAUCCCAACAGUGCUCCUCUUGGCUAUACUAACGGACGAGACUGGACAGUUUGAGACACAGGACUGGAGUAUGACCUGCUCAUUCGAGCGUUGCUGGGUAGCUCAGAGACAUCAAGAGAAUCUACGUUUUCUCAAGCAAUGAGUUACGAGUUGGGGCCUAGAAUCAGAGAAGUCCAGCAGCCUGCUAAAUCUUUUUGAAACGUAAUUUGAAGGCAUUCAAUCAUCCUGAAGUUGCCCUGGGUCACUGUAAUUGUGCUGCAGCACAACUGGCAACUCCCCAGGCCUUUGUGAAGCAGCUCCCUAUGUGCAUCUUUUGUGUACUCACUCUGUGCAUUUUCUGUGUACAAAUUUCUAUUAUUGAUUUAUUAAAUA